UCCCUGACCCCCCUCACUUUUACAAGUUUUCUUUCUGUGCCUCCUUUUAUCCCCUUUGCUGGGUUUUUUAGAAUUCUUCCUGGUGCUUCCUUAGUGCCCUCACUUUUUAAAUUUUCUUUCUGCAUCUCCGUUAUAGCUGGCUGUCCCUACGUUUUAAUUUUUCCUUUUUUUCCCUAAUCCCCCUCACCUUUAAAAUUUUCUUUCUCUGCCGACUUUUAGUCCCUGUGCUGGUUUUUUAGAACUAUUCUUGGUGUUUGCGAAGUGUCCUUGCUGCUUCAGUUUUCUCUCUACCUCUCCGUUGUAGUUCCCGGUCCCUAUUUUGUAAUUUUUUCCUUAUUUCCUUAAUCACCGUUGCUUUUAAAAUGUUCCGUCGGCUUUUAUCCCGUUUGCAGUCUUUAGUUGUCUGCCUUUACUUUUGACUUAUUUUUUGUCUUUCCUUAGCGCCCUUCUUUUUAGAUAUUGUUUUCUACGGCUCUGGUUUUUUCGCUGUCCCUAUUUUUUAUUUUUGCCCUUUACUUUCUUAAUCCCCGUCGCUUUUUAAACAUUCUUUCUUUGCCUGCUUUUUUCCCCUUCACUGGCUUUUACAAAUUAUUUCUUCUCUGGCUUCUUUGCCAUCACUUUUUAGACCUUCUUGCUACGUCUCCGUUUUCAUUCGUUGUCCCUACGUUUUAUUUUUCCCUUUCUUUCCCUGACCCCCCUCACAUUUAAAAGUUUUCUUUCUGUGCCUCCUUUUAUCCCCUUUGCUGGGUUUUUUAGAAUUCUUCCUGGUGCUUCCUUAGUGCCCUCACUUUUUAAAUUUUCUUUCUGCAUCUCCGUUAUAGUUGGCUGUCCCUACGUUUUAUUUUGUCCUUUUUUUUCCCCCAAUGCCUAUUGCUUUUUAAAUCCUCUUUCCGUGCCGACUUUUACUCCCUUUGCUGGUUUUCUAGAAUUAUUCCUGGUGUUUCCGUAGCGCCCUCGCUGCUUCAGUUUUCUCUCUACCUCUCCGUUGUACUUCCCGGUCCCUAUUUUGUAAUUUUUUCCUUAUUUCCUUAACCACCGUUGCUUUUAAAAUGUUCCGUCGGCUUUUAUCCCGUUUGCAGUCUUUAGUUGUCUGCCUUUACUUUUGACUUAUUUUUUGUCUUUCCUUAGCGCCCUCGCUUUUUCGAGGUUGUUUUCUACGGCUCCGUUUUAGUUCGCUGUCCCUAUUUUGUAAUUCUUUCCUUCAUUUCCCUAAUGCCUAUUGCUUUUUCAAAGAUUGUUUCUAUGCCGACUUUGAUUGCCUUUGCUGGUUUUUUGUGAUUCUUUCUUGUCUUUCCUUAGUGCCGCCGCUGUUUUAAAUUUUCUUUCUACCUCUCUUGUAGUUCGCUGACCCUCUUUCCUAAUUUUUUCCUUUAUUUCCCUAAUACUCAUCGCUUUUGAAAUGGUCUUUCCAUGUCUCCUUUUAUUCCCUUUGCCGUUGCUUUAGAAUUAGUACUCGGUUUUCCGUAGUGCCAUCGAUUUUAAAUUCUCUUCCUACGUCUCCGUUUUAGUUCACCGUCACUGGUUUUUAAUUUUUUCCCUAUUUCCUGAAUCAUCGGUGCUUUUAAGAUUUUCUGUCUGCUUUUCCCCCGUUCGCUGGCUUUAUUUCACUGUCUUUAGUUUUUUAAUUAUUCCUUGUCUGUCUUUAGUCCCCUCGCUUUUCAAAUUUUGUGCCUACAUCUCUUUUGGUUUGCUGUCCCUAUAUUUUAAGUUUUCCCUUUAUUUCCCUAAAACUCCUCCCUCGUUGAGUUUUCUUUCUACGCCUGCUUUUUCUCCAUUUGCUGUUUUUAAAAAUGAUUUCUUGUCUUUCCUUACUGACCUCGUUUUGAAAAUUUUCUUGCUACGUCUCCGUUCCCGUUCGCUGUCCCUACGUUUUAAUUUUUCCCUUUCUUUCCCUGACCCCCCUCACUUUUUACAAGUUUUCUUUCUAUGCCUCCUUUUAUCCCCUUUGCUGGGUUUUUUAGAAUUCUUCCUGGUGCUUCCUUAGUGCCCUCACUUUUUAAAUUUUCUUUCUGCAUCUCCGUUAUAGCUGGCUGUCCCUACGUUUUAAUUUUUCCUUUUUUUCCCUAAUCCCCCUCACCUUUAAAAUUUUCUUUCUCUGCCGACUUUUAGUCCCUGUGCUGGUUUUUUAGAACUAUUCUUGGUGUUUGCGAAGUGUCCUUGCUGCUUCAGUUUUCUCUCUACCUCUCCGUUGUAGUUCCCGGUCCCUAUUUUGUAAUUUUUUCCUUAUUUCCUUAAUCACCGUUGCUUUUAAAAUGUUCCGUCGGCUUUUAUCCCGUUUGCAGUCUUUAGUUGUCUGCCUUUACUUUUGACUUAUUUUUUGUCUUUCCUUAGCGCCCUUCUUUUUAGAUAUUGUUUUCUACGGCUCUGGUUUUUUCGCUGUCCCUAUUUUUUAUUUUUGCCCUUUACUUUCUUAAUCCCCGUCGCUUUUUAAACAUUCUUUCUUUGCCUGCUUUUUUCCCCUUCACUGGCUUUUACAAAUUAUUUCUUCUCUGGCUUCUUUGCCAUCACUUUUUAGACCUUCUUGCUACGUCUCCGUUUUCAUUCGUUGUCCCUACGUUUUAUUUUUCCCUUUCUUUCCCUGACCCCCCUCACAUUUAAAAGUUUUCUUUCUGUGCCUCCUUUUAUCCCCUUUGCUGGGUUUUUUAGAAUUCUUCCUGGUGCUUCCUUAGUGCCCUCACUUUUUAAAUUUUCUUUCUGCAUCUCCGUUAUAGUUGGCUGUCCCUACGUUUUAUUUUGUCCUUUUUUUUCCCCCAAUGCCUAUUGCUUUUUAAAUCCUCUUUCCGUGCCGACUUUUACUCCCUUUGCUGGUUUUCUAGAAUUAUUCCUGGUGUUUCCGUAGCGCCCUCGCUGCUUCAGUUUUCUCUCUACCUCUCCGUUGUAGUUCCCGGUCCCUAUUUUGUAAUUUUUUCCUUAUUUCCUUAACCACCGUUGCUUUUAAAAUGUUCCGUCGGCUUUUAUCCCGUUUGCAGUCUUUAGUUGUCUGCCUUUACUUUUGACUUAUUUUUUGUCUUUCCUUAGCGCCCUCGCUUUUUCGAGAUUGUUUUCUACGGCUCUGGUUUUUUCGCUGUCCCUAUUUUUUAUUUUUGCCCUUUACUUUCUUAAUCCCCGUCGCUUUUUAAACAUUCUUUCUUUGCCUGCUUUUUUCCCCUUCACUGGCUUUUACAAAUUAUUUCUUCUCUGGCUUCUUUGCCAUCACUUUUUAGACCUUCUUGCUACGUCUCCGUUUUCAUUCGUUGUCCCUACGUUUUAUUUUUCCCUUUCUUUCCCUGACCCCCCUCACAUUUAAAAGUUUUCUUUCUGUGCCUCCUUUUAUCCCCUUUGCUGGGUUUUUUAGAAUUCUUCCUGGUGCUUCCUUAGUGCCCUCACUUUUUAAAUUUUCUUUCUGCAUCUCCGUUAUAGUUGGCUGUCCCUACGUUUUAUUUUGUCCUUUUUUUUCCCCCAAUGCCUAUUGCUUUUUAAAUCCUCUUUCCGUGCCGACUUUUACUCCCUUUGCUGGUUUUCUAGAAUUAUUCCUGGUGUUUCCGUAGCGCCCUCGCUGCUUCAGUUUUCUCUCUACCUCUCCGUUGUAGUUCCCGGUCCCUAUUUUGUAAUUUUUUCCUUAUUUCCUUAACCACCGUUGCUUUUAAAAUGUUCCGUCGGCUUUUAUCCCGUUUGCAGUCUUUAGUUGUCUGCCUUUACUUUUGACUUAUUUUUUGUCUUUCCUUAGCGCCCUCGCUUUUUCGAGGUUGUUUUCUACGGCUCCGUUUUAGUUCGCUGUCCCUAUUUUGUAAUUCUUUCCUUCAUUUCCCUAAUGCCUAUUGCUUUUUCAAAGAUUGUUUCUAUGCCGACUUUGAUUGCCUUUGCUGGUUUUUUGUGAUUCUUUCUUGUCUUUCCUUAGUGCCGCCGCUGUUUUAAAUUUUCUUUCUACCUCUCUUGUAGUUCGCUGACCCUCUUUCCUAAUUUUUUCCUUUAUUUCCCUAAUACUCAUCGCUUUUGAAAUGGUCUUUCCAUGUCUCCUUUUAUUCCCUUUGCCGUUGCUUUAGAAUUAGUACUCGGUUUUCCGUAGUGCCAUCGAUUUUAAAUUCUCUUCCUACGUCUCCGUUUUAGUUCACCGUCACUGGUUUUUAAUUUUUUCCCUAUUUCCUGAAUCAUCGGUGCUUUUAAGAUUUUCUGUCUGCUUUUCCCCCGUUCGCUGGCUUUAUUUCACUGUCUUUAGUUUUUUAAUUAUUCCUUGUCUGUCUUUAGUCCCCUCGCUUUUCAAAUUUUGUGCCUACAUCUCUUUUGGUUUGCUGUCCCUAUAUUUUAAGUUUUCCCUUUAUUUCCCUAAAACUCCUCCCUCGUUGAGUUUUCUUUCUACGCCUGCUUUUUCUCCAUUUGCUGUUUUUAAAAAUGAUUUCUUGUCUUUCCUUACUGACCUCGUUUUGAAAAUUUUCUUGCUACGUCUCCGUUCCCGUUCGCUGUCCCUACGUUUUAAUUUUUCCCUUUCUUUCCCUGACCCCCCUCACUUUUUACAAGUUUUCUUUCUAUGCCUCCUUUUAUCCCCUUUGCUGGGUUUUUUAGAAUUCUUCCUGGUGCUUCCUUAGUGCCCUCACUUUUUAAAUUUUCUUUCUGCAUCUCCGUUAUAGCUGGCUGUCCCUACGUUUUAAUUUUUCCUUUUUUUCCCUAAUCCCCCUCACCUUUAAAAUUUUCUUUCUCUGCCGACUUUUAGUCCCUGUGCUGGUUUUUUAGAACUAUUCUUGGUGUUUGCGAAGUGUCCUUGCUGCUUCAGUUUUCUCUCUACCUCUCCGUUGUAGUUCCCGGUCCCUAUUUUGUAAUUUUUUCCUUAUUUCCUUAAUCACCGUUGCUUUUAAAAUGUUCCGUCGGCUUUUAUCCCGUUUGCAGUCUUUAGUUGUCUGCCUUUACUUUUGACUUAUUUUUUGUCUUUCCUUAGCGCCCUUCUUUUUAGAUAUUGUUUUCUACGGCUCUGGUUUUUUCGCUGUCCCUAUUUUUUAUUUUUGCCCUUUACUUUCUUAAUCCCCGUCGCUUUUUAAACAUUCUUUCUUUGCCUGCUUUUUUCCCCUUCACUGGCUUUUACAAAUUAUUUCUUCUCUGGCUUCUUUGCCAUCACUUUUUAGACCUUCUUGCUACGUCUCCGUUUUCAUUCGUUGUCCCUACGUUUUAUUUUUCCCUUUCUUUCCCUGACCCCCCUCACAUUUAAAAGUUUUCUUUCUGUGCCUCCUUUUAUCCCCUUUGCUGGGUUUUUUAGAAUUCUUCCUGGUGCUUCCUUAGUGCCCUCACUUUUUAAAUUUUCUUUCUGCAUCUCCGUUAUAGUUGGCUGUCCCUACGUUUUAUUUUGUCCUUUUUUUUCCCCCAAUGCCUAUUGCUUUUUAAAUCCUCUUUCCGUGCCGACUUUUACUCCCUUUGCUGGUUUUCUAGAAUUAUUCCUGGUGUUUCCGUAGCGCCCUCGCUGCUUCAGUUUUCUCUCUACCUCUCCGUUGUAGUUCCCGGUCCCUAUUUUGUAAUUUUUUCCUUAUUUCCUUAACCACCGUUGCUUUUAAAAUGUUCCGUCGGCUUUUAUCCCGUUUGCAGUCUUUAGUUGUCUGCCUUUACUUUUGACUUAUUUUUUGUCUUUCCUUAGCGCCCUCGCUUUUUCGAGGUUGUUUUCUACGGCUCCGUUUUAGUUCGCUGUCCCUAUUUUGUAAUUCUUUCCUUCAUUUCCCUAAUGCCUAUUGCUUUUUCAAAGAUUGUUUCUAUGCCGACUUUGAUUGCCUUUGCUGGUUUUUUGUGAUUCUUUCUUGUCUUUCCUUAGUGCCGCCGCUGUUUUAAAUUUUCUUUCUACCUCUCUUGUAGUUCGCUGACCCUCUUUCCUAAUUUUUUCCUUUAUUUCCCUAAUACUCAUCGCUUUUGAAAUGGUCUUUCCAUGUCUCCUUUUAUUCCCUUUGCCGUUGCUUUAGAAUUAGUACUCGGUUUUCCGUAGUGCCAUCGAUUUUAAAUUCUCUUCCUACGUCUCCGUUUUAGUUCACCGUCACUGGUUUUUAAUUUUUUCCCUAUUUCCUGAAUCAUCGGUGCUUUUAAGAUUUUCUGUCUGCUUUUCCCCCGUUCGCUGGCUUUAUUUCACUGUCUUUAGUUUUUUAAUUAUUCCUUGUCUGUCUUUAGUCCCCUCGCUUUUCAAAUUUUGUGCCUACAUCUCUUUUGGUUUGCUGUCCCUAUAUUUUAAGUUUUCCCUUUAUUUCCCUAAAACUCCUCCCUCGUUGAGUUUUCUUUCUACGCCUGCUUUUUCUCCAUUUGCUGUUUUUAAAAAUGAUUUCUUGUCUUUCCUUACUGACCUCGUUUUGAAAAUUUUCUUGCUACGUCUCCGUUCCCGUUCGCUGUCCCUACGUUUUAAUUUUUCCCUUUCUUUCCCUGACCCCCCUCACUUUUUACAAGUUUUCUUUCUAUGCCUCCUUUUAUCCCCUUUGCUGGGUUUUUUAGAAUUCUUCCUGGUGCUUCCUUAGUGCCCUCACUUUUUAAAUUUUCUUUCUGCAUCUCCGUUAUAGCUGGCUGUCCCUACGUUUUAAUUUUUCCUUUUUUUUCCCUAAUCCC